GAUGAACGCUGGCGGCGUGCCUAAUACAUGCAAGUCGAGCGGACGGACGAGAGGCUUGCUUCUCUGAGGUUAGCGGCGGACGGGUGAGUAACACGUGGAUAUCCUAUCUAUAAGACUGGGAUAACUUCGGGAAACCGUAGCUAAUUCCGGACAAUAUUUUGAACCGCAUGGUUCAAAAGUGAAAGACGGUCUUGCUGUCACGUAUAGAUGGAUCCGCGCUGCAUUAGCUAGUUGGUAAGGUAACGGCUUACCAAGGCAACGAUGCUUAGCCGACCUGAGAGCGUGAUCGGCCACCCUGGAUCUGAGGCACGGCCCCGACUCCUGCGCUAGGCAGCAGUCGGGAAUCUUCCGCGAUGGGCGAGUGCGUGACUGUGCGACGCGGCGUGAGGGAUGAACGUCCUCCGAUCGUUAAACUCUGUUAUUAGGGAGGACCAUAUCUGUAAGUAACUGUGCACAUCUUGACGGUACCUGAUCAGAAAGCCCCGGCUAACUACGUG
rnacentral:rRNA from 1 species